UCUUUCCAUCUGUAGCUCUGCGUCUCCCUUACUCUGCCGUGGCUGUAUGGAACCUGACCUGUCUAGCAUUAGAUAACUCUCCCCUGCAGCUUAUGACGACGGCACGGCGUGUCUGUUUUAAGCAUUCUUUAGGCCUACUGGCUAAUCAGUGACCAAGUGUUUGGUAGCAUGGCUUCGUCAAGUUUGCUUGUUUAGUGUGGUCACGCUGCUGUCUUGUCCAUAGCAUUAGUUUUCAUUUAUUUUUGUGUUUACGUCAUCACAGCUCCUCCGUGUCGCGGUAGCUGACCUGUUUGUGUUGCUCUUUGCUUGAUUGGGAUUUCCCAGGCGGGUUUGUUUUUUUGUUUGUUUGUUUGUUUUUGUUUGCUGGUCUGUUUUGCUUUUGCCUUAGUGUGUGUGUAAUCGUGUUUUCUGAGUUUGUAGUGUGUCUGCAUGCCUAGCUUUUAUCCCAGCGAGGAUUAUUUCCCUGGCUCAAAAGCUUUACAUCUUUAAUUGGUAUAACCUACAUGCUGGUGUUUGUGGUUGCUGUGCUCCUUUUUUUGACCAGUUUAUGUGUUGGCAGGCCUGUGGGUUAGCUUCGGCGGGGGGGUAGCUAGUCACCUGGUGGCGGGCUUGUGAACUUCACUUUGGAGUGUACUAUGGAAUAUCGGUGGUGGCUUGCUGUGACAAUGGUGUAACACUUUUCUGCAGUGAGAGUGCACGUGUGGACACCUUCCUUGAUAGUCUGCUUCCCCCCCAUCCAGGUAAGCCCCGCCUGCCAGUAUAAUUUUCUGUUUUAUUUUGGUGUGUGCAACAUUCCCAGCUGAUGUGUUAGAAUUGCUUGUGCUAUUUAACUCAUGUCAUGCAUCCUACACGACAGUAAAAAGAUACAAUAAGAAACUAAAAUAAAGUAUAUUUUUAUAUGUUUCUAACCCCUGCCAGUUAUUUUCAGUUUCAGCAACAGAUCACACCACACUCCCCCCUCCCUCUCCCCAACAGUGCUUUCAAUAAACGGACAUUUGAUUUGAUUGGAA